AUUGAACGCUGGCGGCAGGCCUAACACAUGCAAGUCGAACGAGUGGCGGACGGGUGAGUAAUGUCUGGGAAACUGCCCGAUGGAGGGGGAUAACUACUGGAAACGGUAGCUAAUACGGCAUACCAUCGGAUUUGCCCAGAUGGGAUUAGCUAGUGGGUGGGGUAACGGCUCACCUAGGCGACGAUCCCUAGCUGGUCUGAGAGGCUGACCAGCCACACUGGAACUGAGACACGGCCCAGACUCCUACGGGAGGCAGCAGUGGGGAAUAUUGGACAAUGGGCGCAAGCCUGAUUCAGCCAUGCCGCGUGUAUGAAGAAGGCCUUCGGGUUGUAAAGUACUUUCAUCGAGGAGGCGUUACUCGCAGAAGAAGCACCGGCUAACUACGUGCCAGCAGCCGCGGUAAUUC
rnacentral:rRNA from 1 species